GGUUUGGGGGGGGGAUUUUUAGAGUUUUGAAUCUGGCUCAGAUUGAACGCUGGCGGCAGGCCUAACACAUGCAAGUCGAGCGGAUGACGGGAGCUUGCUCCUUGAUUCAGCGGCGGACGGGUGAGUAAUGCCUAGGAAUCUGCCUGGUAGUGGGGGACAACGUUUCGAAAGGAACGCUAAUACCGCAUACGUCCUACGGGAGAAAGCAGGGGACCUUCGGGCCUUGCGCUAUCAGAUGAGCCUAGGUCGGAUUAGCUAGUAGGUGAGGUAAUGGCUCACCUAGGCGACGAUCCGUAACUGGUCUGAGAGGAUGAUCAGUCACACUGGAACUGAGACACGGUCCAGACUCCUACGGGAGGCAGCAGUGGGGAAUAUUGGACAAUGGGCGAAAGCCUGAUCCAGCCAUGCCGCGUGUGUGAAGAAGGUCUUCGGAUUGUAAAGCACUUUAAGUUGGGAGGAAGGGCAGUAAGCUAAUACCUUGCUGUUUUGACGUUACCGACAGAAUAAGCACCGGCUAACUCUGUGCCAGCAGCCGCGGUAAUACAGAGGGUGCAAGCGUUAAUCGGAAUUACUGGGCGUAAAGCGCGCGUAGGUGGUUCGUUAAGUUGGAUGUGAAAGCCCCGGGCUCAACCUGGGAACUGCAUCCAAAACUGGCGAGCUAGAGUAUGGUAGAGGGUGGUGGAAUUUCCUGUGUAGCGGUGAAAUGCGUAGAUAUAGGAAGGAACACCAGUGGCGAAGGCGACCACCUGGACUGAUACUGACACUGAGGUCCAAAAGAGGCG
rnacentral:rRNA from 1 species